UAGCAUAUCAAUAAGCGGAGGAAAAGAAACUAACAAGGAUUCCCAUAGUAACUGCGAGUGAAGCGGGAAAAGCUCAAAUUUAAAAUCUGGCAGUCUCUGAUUGUCCGAGUUGUAAUCUAGAGAAGUGUUACCCGCGUUGGACCGUGUAUAAGUCUCCUGGAAUGGAGCGUCAUAGAGGGUGAGAAUCCCGUCUUUAACACGGACUACCAAGGCUUUGUGGUGCGCUCUCAAAGAGUCGAGUUGUUUGGGAAUGCAGCUCAAAAUGGGUGGUAAAUGCCAUCUAAAGCUAAAUACAGGCGAGAGACCGAUAGCGAACAAGUACCGUGAGGGAAAGAUGAAAAGAACUUUGGAAAGAGAGUUAAACAGUACGUGAAAUUGCUGAAAGGGAAACGCUUGAAGUCAGUCGCGUUGGCUGGGAAUCAACCUUGCUUUUGCUUUGGUGUACUUUCCAGUCGACGGGUCAACAUCAAUUUUGAUCGGUGGAUAAGGUCGUGAGGAAUGUGGCAUCUUCGGAUGUGUUAUAGCCUUGUGUCAUAUACAUUGAUUGGGAUUGAGGAACUCAGCACGCCGAAAGGCCAGGUUUCGACCAUGUUCGUGCUUAGGAUGUUGGCAAAAUGGCUUUAAUCGACCCGUCUUGAAACACGGACCAAGGAGUCUAACAUGCCUGCGAGUGUUUGGGUGGAAAACCCGAGCGCACAAUGAAAGUGAAAGUUGAGAUCCCUGUCGUGGGGAGCAUCGACGCCCGGACCAGACCUUUUGUGACGGAUCCGCGGUAGAGCAUGUAUGUUGGGACCCGAAAGAUGGUGAACUAUGCCUGAAUAGGGUGAAGCCAGAGGAAACUCUGGUGGAGGCUCGUAGCGAUUCUGACGUGCAAAUCGAUCGUCAAAUUUGGGUAUAGGGGCGAAAG
rnacentral:rRNA from 1 species